UAAGGCAUGAGCAGCGGAGGGCCAUUUUCGCCUUUUUCUGUCUUCUAUAAGAAUUUCAACAGAACUUCGUUUUCUUUUUUUUCUUUUUCCAAAAAUCUAUCUGCUUCUGUUUUCCACUCAAAUGAUCUUAAACAAAAAAAGAAAUUAUAGCUUUAAAAAUUGAAAUUCGAGUUCAACCCAUCAACAGUUUGCGGCUGAAUUUGUACUCUGCAAAGGAAACUAGAGAGCUCUACUAUCGGAUCGUCAGGUCUUAAUUGGCACCUCAUCUACGGAUGGCAACCCGGAAGAUCGUUUGUUUGAUAACGGUGGAUGGUAUCGGACUACCCUGACAACGGCGUUUGCCAAAGAAAUAGUAGAGUAACUUAUCUGUAUUUGCAGCAUCGAAUUUUUAGCUAUCGACUGAUUACUUAAAACGUUACAUUUUGUAAAUUAUUUUGCUGCUGCUCUUUCCUAUGCCUUAAUAUUUUUAUGUCAACAUUUCGUACUAAACCGUUAUAUCCCCUACUGAGUUGUGGCUCACUCCUUUUAGUUUUGUUUUCCACAGAGUACGAGCGGAGCUUGCAGCAGUAAGCCGGGCAGAGCUUACAGCAAGCUUUAAUGCGUUGAAAGUUAGUAUUUUGUUGUUCAUAAUAUGUAUAUCACGGGGAUAAAUCUGGGAUAGUCUUAUGUUGCACAUGAUCCAUACUUCUGAUAUAUUUUAUUGUACAUAAAAAUGUGGGGAUCUUGUCUUGUUGGGUAGUUUCAAAUCGGUGUUAAUCUAUUUUUGUCGCAUUUUGCUUGGUAUGUAUACGCAGUAUAGUCUCGUGCUAAGUCUGACAUGGGUAUAUGAGACUCCUUUUGUUGUCAUGUAUAUAAAACUGUACUAGCAGGUCUCUUUUUAUAUAUACUACUUUCUUUAGAUUUC